rnacentral:misc_RNA from 1 species
UAAUAAGUGUUUUAUGGCACUUCUUAAAUCCAUAUCCACCUUGUGUGCAAUGUCAGUCGAUUUCUUUAUGGAGAUCGGCCAAACAUCAACUUAUUUUUUAACUGUCUGUCUGAAAACUAUUAUGAAUAAACAAUUCAAAUA